UACGGGGGGAGCAAGCGUUGUUCGGAUUUACUGGGCGUAAAGGGCGCGUAGGCGGUCAGCACAAGUCAGUUGUGAAAUCUCCGGGCUUAACUCGGAAAGGUCAACUGAUACUGUGCGACUAGAGUGCAGAAGGGGCAACUGGAAUUCUCGGUGUAGCGGUGAAAUGCGUAGAUAUCGAGAGGAACACCUGCGGCGAAGGCGGGUUGCUGGGCUGACACUGACGCUGAUGCGCGAAAGCCAGGGAGCGAACAGG
rnacentral:rRNA from 1 species